AUUGAACGCUGGCGGCGUGCUUAACACAUGCAAGUCGAUCGGUAACAGGUGUAGCAAUACAUGCUGACGAGAGGCGGACGGGUGAGGAACGCUUGGGAAUCUGCCUAUCAGCGGGGGACAACCCGGGGAAACUCGGGCUAAUACCGCAUACGCUCUACGGAGGAAAGCCGGGGACCGCAAGGCCUGGCACUGAUAGAUGAGCCCAAGUCGGAUUAGCUAGUUGGCGGGGUAACGGCCCACCAAGGCGACGAUCCGUAGCUGGUCUGAGAGGACGAUCAGCCACACCGGAACUGAGACACGGUCCGGACCCCUACGGGAGGCAGCAGUGGGGAAUAUUGGACAAUGGGCGAAAGCCUGAUCCAGCGACGCCGCGUGGGGGAAGAAGGCCUGCGGGUUGUAAAGCCCUUUCGGUAGGGACGAAAGCUCUUGCCCUAACAAGGCAGGAGGUUGACUUAACCCACAUAAGAAGCACCGGCUAACUCUGUGCCAGCAGCCGCCGUAAGAC
rnacentral:rRNA from 1 species